rnacentral:tRNA from 1 species
GAAGUAUGUAAAUCAAACUGAAGCUUCUAACUUCAAGUUUAAGCGAAAUCCUCGUUUAUACUUCU